rnacentral:rRNA from 1 species
AUUGAACGCUGGCGGCAUACUUAACACAUGCAAGUCGAACGGCAGCACGGUCUAGUUUACUAGAUGGGUGGCGAGUGGCGAACGGGUGAGUAAUACGAAGGAAUAUAACCUAGAGAGGGGGAUAACUUGGGGAAACUUAAGCAAAUACCGCGUGAUAUUUGAGGAUUAAAGCUUGGGACCAGAGAUGGCCAGGCGCGCUAGGAAUAGACUUCGUCCGAUUAGCUAGUUGGUGUGGUAAAGGCGUCACCAAGGCGACGAUCGGUAGCUGGUCUGAGAGGAUGGACAGCCACACUGGGACUGAGACACGGCCCAGACUCCUACGGGAGGCAGCAGUGGGGAAUAUUGGACAAUGGGGGCAACCCUGAUCCAGAAAUGCCGCGUGUGUGAAGAAGGCCUGAGGGUUGUAAAGCACUUUCAGUGGGGAGGAGGGUGUAUUGGUUAAGAGCUGAUAUAUUGGACGUUACCCACAGAAGAAGCACCGGCUAACUCCGUGCCAGCAGCCGCCGUAA